rnacentral:rRNA from 1 species
CAGUAGCCGCGGUAAUACAGAGGGUGCAGGCGUUAAUCGGAUUUACUGGGCGUAAAGGGCGCGUAGGUGGUUAUUUAAGUGAGAUGUGAAAGCCCCGGGCUUAACCUGGGAACUGCAUCUUAUACUGGGUAACUGGAGUGCAGUAGAGGGCAGUGGAAUUUCCGGUGUAGCGGUGAAAUGCGUAGAUAUCGGAAGGAACACCAGUGGCGAAGGCGGCUACCUGGACUGAGACUGACACUGAGGCGCGAGAGCGUGGGGAGCAAACAGGAUUAGAUACCCGCGUAGUCCCUGUCUCUUAUAC